CUCUGAUGCAGCGAUGCCGCGUGAGUGAAGAAGGCCCUUGGGUUGUAAAGCUCUUUCGUCGGGGAAGAAAAUGACUGUACCCGAAUAAGAAGGUCCGGCUAACUUCGUGCCAGCAGCCGCGGUAAUACGAAGGGACCUAGCGUAGUUCGGAAUUACUGGGCUUAAAGAGUUCGUAGGUGGUUGAAAAAGUUAGUGGUGAAAUCCCAGAGCUUAACUCUGGAACUGCCAUUAAAACUUUUCAGCUAGAGUAUGAUAGAGGAAAGCAGAAUUUCUAGUGUAGAGGUGAAAUUCGUAGAUAUUAGAAAGAAUACCAAUUGCGAAGGCAGCUUUCUGGAUCAUUACUGAUACUGAGGAACGAAAGCAUGGGUAGCGAAGAGGAUUAGAUACCCUCGUAGUCCAUGCCGUAAACGAUGUGUGUUAGACGUUGGAAAUUUAUUUUCAGUGUCGCAGGGAAACCGAUAAACACACCGCCUGGGGAGUACGACCGCAAGGUUAAAACUCAAAUGAAUUGACGGGGACCCGCACAAGUAGUGGAGCAUGUGGUUUAAUUCGAAGAUACGCGCAGAACCUUACCAACACUUGACAUGUUCGUCGCGACUCUAAGAGAUUAGAGUUUUCGGUUCGGCCGGACGAAACACAGGUGCUGCAUGGCUGUCGUCAGCUCGUGUCGUGAGAUGUUGGGUUAAGUCCCGCAACGAGCGCAACCCUCACUUUUAGUUGCCAUCAUUAAGUUGGGCACUCUGAAAGAACUGCCAGUGAUAAGCUGGAGGAAGGUGGGGAUGACGUCAAGUCCUCAUGGCCCUUACGUGUUGGGCUACACACGUGCUACAAUGGUAUCUACAACAGGAAGCAAGACUGCGAAGUUAAGCAAAUCCCUAAAAGAUACCUCAGUUCGGA
rnacentral:rRNA from 1 species